CUUAAAAGCCCUGAAAUCUGAACCCAACCCAGGCGCGAAAUCCGAGGUGCCCCGCGACCGCGCUGACCGGCGGCGAUGCCGAUCCGGCGGCCGGCCCACGGGCGGAUCGUGGCCGCCGCCGCCCGCGUUACUCCGGCGCUUGGUCGGCGUGGCUCUGGUGCUGUGUGCCAGUACUCAACAGCAAACUUAUCCAAACUUGAAUCAAGAUGAGAUGGUGCUCUUAUCUUCUUUGGAAAUUGAAGACUUUGAUGGAGAAGGCAAAGACGAACGCGAAGAGAGCAGCAAACCCAACAACGGCAGUUGCUACAUAACCUAAGUAGUCAUGCCUAAACCCAAAGUAUCGUCUGAUGUAAUCUUGCACCACUUCCCCGUCCUCCAGUGUAGAGUUUGUGAUAUCACCAUAUUGUGAGGCAACAAGUCCGUACAGUGUCCAUGCCACUGGGCAUGCCCAGGAAUACCACCUCCACCAUAUUGGUAUCCUCUGCAAACCAGCCAUGUAUAUUUCAGCAUCAACAGUAUAGAAAAAAGACUUAAAGGUUGGUAUGGACAAUGAAUGAAUAUCAGAUACUUACUGGUCGGGGGAUUAGGAAGCCGGCAAAGAUAUUCCAUAUGCAAUAGAAUGCAGUAGAGACUAUGGCAGCAAUGUCGCUGUUUGGUGUCAUGGCGACUGCCAUCAUCCCAUAGAAUGUGAAGUACAUGAAGGUGAAGAACAUGAAGAACAUGUACCAGAAGAAUUUUUCAACUGUCCAGUCAAAGCCAAUCAGGCUGUAGACGAUCAGACCAUACACGACAGUCUGGAGGAAGAUGUGUGGUAUCUCAAUAAGAACCUGUUGAAAGGAUAAAUUGUUAGAUUUUUUUCCGUAUAAUAAAGGAAGCACACUGCAAUUGUUUUUUGUUUAAAUAUGCAGCUAUGACCAUUUACCUGCGCAAAUGCAUAUGGUAGAGCGGAGUACAUUCCAGCGGCCUUUUCUCGGUAGAACACUGUUCGCUCAACGUCUACAAUUGGUUGGACAGUCUGGCCGUUUUGAAUUCCAAUGAAAAGGACUGCUGCAUACAUGGAUCCCAAAGAGUUGAACAGAUCCAAUCUCUUGUUUCUGUAGGCAAGAUAAGCACAGGUUCAAGAAUAUAGUGCCGAAAAUGAGGGCUAUAACUGUUGUGAAGAAGAUUCUAGUUGCUGUAUACGACGGAUUUCUCCAGUAUGAUUUGUGCUGCUUCCACAGGCAAGCCAUGCAUUGUGUGAAGAAGGGCUGUGAAAAUUGAGUUGGGAAGUGUAGGUCCGUUGAUCCAGGUGGAGGUGUGCUUAAUUCACUUAUCAAUGUUUUAUUCCUCCUGCAAUGGUGCAAUUGAAUCAGUGAUAUAACACAGAAAAAGCAGAAAAAGAACAUUUUGGGGGGCUUUUGUCAUGAAACAUACUGGUAUAGAUCAGAAUUCCUGUAUACUUCAGCAAAGUUGAUGCCAAGGAUAUCUUCUUGGGCUAGGGUGGUAACCUCCAACAUCCAUGUUGCAGGAUUGUAACCAUCCUUGAUUUUCCUCACUCCUUGUAUACCCUAAAUUUGGAGCAGCGAGCAAGGUUACCAUGCAUGUCUUAAGUUGGAAAUUUGGUGUUCACUUCAGUAUUUAAGUAUCGAGGCUCACCUCAAAGUAAUUGAUGAGAUGGCAUGAGUUGUGUCCCAGGGGGCCCACAUAUAUUUCUUCACCUCCUCGUUUCAUCAGAAACAGCUGCAGAAGUUCAAGAAUAGCCUGUUAGUGUUCGUAUGAGAGGCAUCCAAGAAUUGUGCAAUUUUGGCCCUUGCUUCAACUUACCUCAUCAAAAGCUUCAAAUAUGUCAAUGCUGGGCUGGUGAAUUGUGCAGACAACAGUUCUUCCUGUGUCUACUGUGUUUCUAACUGUUCUCAUCACAAUUGCAGCUGCCCUUGCAUCUAGUCCUGAAGUUGGUUCAUCCAUGAAUAUGAUGGAUGGGUUGGCAACAAGCUCAACGGCAAUAGUGAGCCUCUUCCUCUGUUCGGUGGAUAAACCAUUCACUCCUGGCAGUCCCACCAGUGCUCCCCUCAGUGAUGUCAGCUCAACAAGUUCCAUGACUUCUUCCACAAACAUCUGCAUCCGUGAAGUGAGUCAGCAUCACAAUGCAAAAUGUGUAAUGAGCUAGCAGAGUAAAGGCUGUUUGACUAACCUUUCUUGCUUCUGAGUCUACUUCAGAGGGUAACCGGAGCCAUGCUGAGUACAGAAGGGACUCGUAAACAGUGACAUGUGGAGAGUGGAUAUCAUUUUGCUCACAGUAACCAGCAAUCCGAGCAAAGGUCUCUUGCUUCUUUGGGUAUCCAGAGAUGGAGAUGUCUCCUUCAAUGUAACCGCCUGUUUUCCUUCCCGCCAGCACAUCCAUUAGAGUUGUUUUACCAGCUCCGCUAACACCCAUCAGUGCUGUAAGGACUCCUGGCCUGAAAGCUCCGCUUACACCUUUCAGCAGCAGUAGCCGAUCUUCAGUAACACCUUUAUCUUUCAUUUCCUGUCAAAAAUUGUGCAUCGGGAUUAGCAUAAUAGCAUUUGGUGGUAUAUUUGUUACACACAGGGAGGCUUCCAAUGCUUGCUUACCUGAGGCAUAUCCACAGAGUAUCUGAUAUUGUCGAAGGUGAUCGACAGAGGAGUAAAUGGAAGUACCAUUCCUCUCUUCCUGGUGUCAGCUCCUGUAAUCUCUCCUCUUCCUGCAUUUGCUAUACUUGUUAAAAGGACACAACAAAAUGGCAUAUCUUGUUCAAUGCCAUAAUACAGAGGAAUGUACUAAAAAGACUGACCAUCAGAAGGUGAAUUCUGGGAAUCUGUUCCAAGAGUCAGCAGCUCAACAUUUUCUCCGAGCUGAGAUGAUACUCACGGUCAAGCCAUUCAAGGAACAGAAUGAAGAGGAUGUUGAAGAGCAUGAUGUAUCCAAGUAAUGCGCCAACGCCAAUCCAGUACCAGUUUGCAUCGACAAAUAUGCCACGUACCUUAAGGACUUGGACACCAAGCGUGUCGUUGCUUUGUGUCGGAUCAACAACCUGCGCAAAGAUUAGGUUGCUUCUGAGUUAUCUAAAUCCAAACUUAGAUUGUCAGGUUUGAGUUGGUGCAGGAGACACUGCAUUACCUUGUUCCAGCUGUGGCCAAGGAACUCAUUAACUGCUAUGGCAUUCUGUGCAUACAUCAGAGGAGAGGACCAGUAGCCCCAAAUCCACCAUUUCUUGAUGUUUUCUGCAAAAGGAGAACUCAGUACAAUGCUCUUGUUACUACUGGAACAAUAUAUGAGUUACUUGGCAUACCUCUAGAUAUCAAGAAACCACCGAGAACCAGAAGAAUAAGCUGAGCAAAUGACCCAAACGUGUCUGCAACAACCAUCUCUCUUCCUAGUGCAGCGAGAAGCCGGAAGAGACCGGACGCCAUCUGGCUGAUCAGUACCAGCAGCACAUAAUGGCGGAAGAAUCUCUCUAUGUUUGGAUCGAAGCCCAUGACAUAGUAUGUCAUGCAAAUCCACACAGCACAUUCUAAGAAUGAUAUUGGGAUUUUGAGCACCCAUGUAGGUAAUGCAUACGCCCAUGAUGGAUAGAAAAGCAGGUCCCUCUGCUUAUAGAAUAUCGGCAGCUUUGCAAUGCUCAUGGCGAGCUCCGCAAAUCCAUUGAACAAAUGUGUGACUAAUCCAAGGAACAUAGCACCCAGGAAGAUCGCACCAUCUUCUACACUGCGUCGAUGCAUCUUUGUACGCAGGAAGACCGUCAUUCCGAUGCUUCCAAGGAUUAUGAGCUGGUACAGAUGUACCUUUCGUCAGAUUUUAUUUAUGGUCCCGAAGUAGAGAGAAAAAAUUCAAGAUGCGAGAUACAUACCUGGAGAAUUUUGAAGAUGUAAACAAAUGAAUUCCUCUUCAUCAGCAGCCACUCCCUCGAGAAGCAUGCCUUGGUAAGCUCCAUCUUGCUGAUGCCAUACCUGGAAGUUGUGAGAGCAGCAGGAUGGUUCCUGGUUCGGUCAAAGGGCACCCUGAGCUCUGAGCCCAGAUUACGCCCAACAUGGAAUUCCUUGAAGGCCUCCGAAAAGUCGUUCACCGAGAUGUACCGGUAUGGUUCAUCUCUGCGGCACCAGUACUGAUGCUGAUCCUUCCUCGAUGUAACCUGUGCAUUCAGAAUGAACACUGUCAAAUUUGAGUUCCUAGUCCAACAUGCAGGGAAGAUUACUCUGCUGGAUCACUCACUUCUUGCAAGAAGUCUGCAACACCUUUCCUCUCCGGACAUUUGAAGCCCAUUGCCUCAAAGAACUCGAGGAUGUUUUCUCGAGGUCCCUGGUAUACGAUUUGGCCCUCGGAGAGGAGAACAAUGUCAUCAAAGAGGUCAUACGUCUCAGGUGCAGGCUGAAGCAACGCGAUGAGCGCGGUUCCUCCUAAGAUGUGGACAGAUUGCCUGAGGGAGUUGACGAUCUGGUAUGUUGUGGAGCUGUCCAAACCGGUGGAGAUCUCAUCCAUGAACAGAGCCUUUGCUGGACCGACAAGCAUCUCACCUACGUAAAUUCAGUGGAUUGAGAGGUCAGAUUUUUUUCACUAUGAUCGAAGAACACUGUCAUGCCUAGUUCUUUGUUGACUGCAGAUUGCACAUACCAGUUGUGACACGUUUCUUUUGUCCUCCUGAGAUACCUCUGAUCAUAGCGUCUCCAACCAUUGUAUCAGCGCAGAUUUCCAGACCCAGAAUCUGCAAUAGCAACUUAAUUAGUUCUAGUCAUGUAUAUUUCUUCUUUUUUUCUCUAUUUUCCUGUAGUGUGUUGUACUCACUUUGAGAAUGUAAUCUGUGACCACGCUUUCCUGACCUUCCACGGAGAUGGCCUGUUUGCACAAGGGAACAACAAUUUGAGCACUUCUUGUAUACUUUUCCAAAAAAAAAAAGAAAAAAAAGGAAGGCUUGUGCUUUGAAUAAA